rnacentral:rRNA from 1 species
UACGAAGGGGGCUAGCGUUGUUCGGAAUCACUGGGCGUAAAGCGCACGUAGGCGGAUUUUAAGUCAGGGGUGAAAUCCCGAGGCUCAACCUCGGAACUGCCUUUGAUACUGGAGAUCUUGAGUCCGGAAGAGGUAAGUGGAACUGCGAAGUGUAGAGGUGAAAUUCGUAGAUAUUCGCAAGAACACCAGUGCGAAGGCGGCUACGUGGUCCGGAA